rnacentral:rRNA from 1 species
UACGUAGGGUGCGAGCGUUAAUCGGAAUUACUGGGCGUAAAGCGUGCGCAGGCGGUUGUGCAAGACAGAUGUGAAAUCCCCGGGCUUAACCUGGGAACUGCAUUUGUGACUGCACGGCUAGAGUGUGUCAGAGGGGGGUAGAAUUCCACGUGUGAGCAGUGAAAUGCGUAGAUAUGUGGAGGAAUACCGAUGGCGAAGGCAGCCCCCUGGGAUAACACUGACGCCUCAUGCACGAAAGCGUGGGGAGCAACAGG